AACCAUAGAAACCUGCGGAGUACCUGCGGAAGGAUCAUUACCACACCCAAAAACAAACAGAAGUCUCGGAGGCUCUCGGGCCAAAGGACUAAUGUUGACCCGCGAAAACACCGUCUUGUUGUUACUUCUUCGAGGUUAAGUUUUCCGCAGUCUUGCUUCGGCAGUCUCGGUACUUUCCUCGGGCAGUACACUCGACGCUUUCUUAUAUACUUUUGUUCCGCUGGAAUUCAUGUUUCCCUC
rnacentral:misc_RNA from 1 species